AUUUAAAUACAUCUCAUGUUAAUGUUCAAC
rfam:Clostridium roseum strain DSM 7320 CROST_contig000110, whole genome shotgun sequence.